AUACGUAGGGCGCGAGCGUUGUCCGGAAUUACUGGGUGUAAAGGGUGCGUAGGCGGGAUGGCAAGUCAGAUGUGAAAUGCCGGGGCUCAACCCCGGAGCUGCAUUUGAAACUGUCGUUCUUGAGUGAGGUAGAGGUAAGCGGAAUUCCUAGUGUAGCGGUGAAAUGCGUAGAUAUUAGGAGGAACAUCGGUGGCGAAGGCGGCUUCCUGGGCCUAUAUGGACUCCGAGGCACGAAAGCGUGGGGAGCAAAAAGGAUUAGAGACCCUGGUAGUCCACUUGGUAAACGAUGAUUCCUAGGUGAGUGGAGAAAGAACCUUUCCGCGCCGCAGGAAACACAAUAAGUGAUCCCCCUGGGGAGUACUGUCGCAAGGUUGAAACUCAAAGGAAUUGACGGGG
rnacentral:rRNA from 1 species